AUUGAACGCUGGCGGCAUGCCUUACACAUGCAAGUCGAACGGUAACAGGUCUUCGGAUGCUGACGAGUGGCGAACGGGUGAGUAAUACAUCGGAACGUGCCUAGUAGUGGGGAAUAACUACUCGAAAGAGUGGCUAAUACCGCAUGAGAUCUACGGAUGAAAGCAGGGGAUCGCAAGACCUUGUGCUACUAGAGCGGCCGAUGGCAGAUUAGGUAGUUGGUGGGAUAGAAGCUUACCAAGCCGACGAUCUGUAGCUGGUCUGAGAGGACGAUCAGCCACACUGGGACUGAGACACGGCCCAGACUCCUACGGGAGGCAGCAGUGGGGAAUUUUGGACAAUGGGCGAAAGCCUGAUCCAGCAAUGCCGCGUGCAGGAUGAAGGCCUUCGGGUUGUAAACUGCUUUUGUACGGAACGAAAAGCUCUGGUUAAUACCUGGGGCUCAUGACGGUACCGUAAGAAUAAGCACCGGCUAACUACGUGCCAGCCGCCGCUGUAACAC
rnacentral:rRNA from 1 species